rfam:Thermomonospora curvata DSM 43183, complete genome.
CGCGGGGUGGAGCAGUUCGGUAGCUCGCUGGGCUCAUAACCCAGAGGUCGCAGGUUCAAAUCCUGCCCCCGCUA